rnacentral:sRNA from 1 species
CUGGGCAACAAGGCGAGACUUUAUCUCAAAAAAAAAAAACCCAAGGAGGAACAAAUCCUGAUUUUGGAAAGAAUUCAGUAAGUCUUCUCUAAUGAGCUUCCUCAAAACACUUCUCCUUCAGGCAAGGAGCCCUUUUUUCCCCUUUAGAACAACCAUUUACAGCAUCUGAGGCCUUUUUUAAGGGCCAGUUCUCUUCCCUGCUGUUAGGUUUUUAGUUUUAAGAUCAAGUUUCCAACAUAAUUUGUUUUGUUGUUGUGAGAUUAAACUGGCCAUAUGAGUAUUAAAACCAUCUGCUUGUGAAAUAGCAAGCUGAAACUCAACCAAAACAUGAAGCUGUUUAUUACGCUCGCAUACCAAGUCCUCUCUCUUCAUGGGUGGGGACGGGGAAUUCAUUUGCAGAAAGAAGGUGCAUUUCCAGUCACCCAGAACCGGGCGCUGCAGCUGCUUUAUGAUCUGCGUUACCUCAACAUUGUUCUGACAGCCAAGGCUGACGAGGUGAAGAGUGGCCGGAGCAAGCCAGACUCCAGAAUUGAGAAAGUGACUGACCACCUGGAAGCCCUCA